CUCAACAAACCAUAAGGACAUUGGUACUUUAUACUUCAUAUUUGGAGCAUGAGCAGGAAUAGUAGGAACAUCAAUAAGAAUACUUAUUCGUGCUGAACUUGGCCAACCCAGAUCUCUAAUUGGGGAUGACCAGAUUUAUAAUGUUAUUAUUACAGCUCACGCAUUCGUAAUAAUUUUCUUUAUAGUAAUACCUAUUAUAAUUGGUGGAUUUGGUAAUUGACUUGUUCCACUAAUAAUUGGUGCACCAGAUAUAGCAUUUCCACGAAUAAAUAAUAUAAGUUUUUGAUUACUACCACCUUCACUAACCCUUCUUCUUACAUCUUCUAUAGUAGAUAAUGGUGCUGGUACAGGAUGAACAGUUUACCCUCCUCUCGCAGGAGCUAUUGCACACGGGGGUGCAUCUGUAGAUCUAGCUAUUUUUUCACUGCACUUAGCAGGUGUAUCAUCUAUUCUUGGUGCAGUGAAUUUCAUUACAACAGCAAUUAAUAUACGAUCAGAAAGUAUAACUUUAGAUCAAACACCUUUAUUUGUAUGAUCUGUAGCUAUUACAGCAUUACUUCUCCUUCUUUCACUUCCAGUUUCAGCAGGAGCUAUUACUAUAUUAUUAACAGAUCGAAAUUUAAAUACAUCAUUCUUUGACCCUGCAGGAGGGGGUGACCCAAUUCUAUAUCAACAUCUAUUUUGAUUCUUUGGACACCCAGAAGUUUAUAUUUUAAUUCUACCGGGGUUCGGAAUUAUUUCACAUAUUGUAUGUCAAGAAAGAGGAAAAAUUGAAUCAUUUGGAACAUUAGGUAUAAUUUAUGCUAUACUAUCAAUUGGACUAAUAGGAUUUAUUGUAUGAGCACAUCAUAUAUUUACAGUAGGAAUGGAUGUUGACACACGAGCAUAUUUUACAUCAGCAACAAUAAUUAUUGCUGUACCUACAGGAAUUAAGGUAUUUAAAUGAUUAGCUACAUUAUAUGGAACUAAAUUCAAGUUCAAUCCACCAUUAUUAUUAGCUCUAGGAUUUAUUUUCCUAUUUACAAUUGGUGGAUUUACAGGAUUAGUAUUAGCAAAUUCAUCACUUGAUAUUGUAUUACAUGAUACAUAUUAUGUAGUAGCCCACUUUCAUUAUGUAUUAUCUAUAGGAGCAGUAUUUGCAAUUAUAGGAGGUGUCAUUCAAUGAUAUCCACUAUUUACAGGAUUAACUAUAAAUAAUACAUGAUUAAAAAUCCAAUUUACAAUUAUAUUCAUUGGAGUAAAUUUAACAUUCUUUCCUCAACACUUCCUAGGAUUAGCAGGAAUACCUCGACGAUACUCUGACUACCCAGACGCAUAUACAUCAUGAAACGUAGUAUCAAGAAUUGGGUCUACAAUUUCUAUUGUAGGAAUCAUUAUAUUCAUUGUAAUUAUAUGAGAAAGAAUGAUUACAAACCGAGCAAUUAUAUUUAGAGCUAACAUAAGAAGAUCAACAGAAUGACUACAAAAUAACCCUCCUGCAGAACAUAGUUACUCAGAAUUACCAUUAAUCUCUAGAU